rnacentral:rRNA from 1 species
GAUGAACGCUGGCGGCGUGCCUAAUACAUGCAAGUCGAGCGAACGGACGAGAAGCUUGCUUCUCUAAUGUUAGCGGCGGACGGGUGAGUAACACGUGGAUAACCUACCUAUAAGACUGGGAUAACUUCGGGAAACCGUAGCUAAUACCGGAUAAUAUUUUGAACCGCAUGGUUCAAAAGUGAAAGACGGUCUUGCUGUCACUUAUAGAUGGAUCCGCGCUGCACUAGCUAGUUGGUAAGGUAACGGCUUACCAAGGCAACGAUGCAUAGCCGACCUGAGAGGGUGAUCGGCCACACUGGAACUGAGACACGGUCCAGACUCCUACGGGAGGCAGCAGUAGGGAAUCUUCCGCAAUGGGCGAAAGCCUGACGGAGCAACGCCGCGUGAGUGAUGAAGGUCUUCGGAUCGUAAAACUCUGUUAUUAGGGAAGAACAUAUGUGUAAGUAACUGUGCACAUCUUGACGGUACCUAAUCAGAAAGCCACGGCUAACUACGUG